rnacentral:misc_RNA from 1 species
GAAAUGCGAUAAUUAAUGUGAAUUGCAGAAUUCAGUGAAUCAUCGAGUCUUUGAACGCACAUUGCGCCCCCUGGUAUUCCGGGGGGCAUGCCUGUCCGAGCGUCAUUGCUGCCCUCAAGCACGGCUUGUGUGUUGGGCUUCCGUCCCUGGCAACGGGGACGGGCCCAAAAGGCAGUGGCGGCACCAUGUCUGGUCCUCGAGCGUAUGGGGCUUUGUCACCCGCUCCCGUAGGUCCAGCUGGCAGCUAGCCUCGCAACCAAUCUUUUUAACCAGGUUGACCUCGGGUCAGGUAGGGAUACCCGCUGAACUUAAGC